GGAGGAGCUGUGCGAAGAGACAAAAAUAACAGAAGAACUGGUUAGAUUUUUUUUUUUAAUGAUAAAUAAAUAAAUGGACGUGGCCGUGGGGACGUCACGACGCGUCGCCGCCACCAAGCUCGUGAACGCGCCCAUUGGGCUCCCAGCAUGCUGCACAUCCGGAGGCACGCUCAGCACCAGGAGCUGAACCAAGCCUGGAGUGAGCUUCCUGCUGCACCAGAGGAGGAAACAAUGCAGCUCCACAGGAAACACCGCAGACGACGAAAAAAAGACCUUCAUCCAACUUCACCAGGUUUCCUGUUGAGACUUCAUCACCUGACAUUUGGAUUAUGACUGUCACCACCAACUUCUGUUUGUGAUACUGGAGGAUGAUGUCAUUAUCUCACCACAGUGGACAAACUUAAAAAUGUCUUGGUUUUCUCAUGGACAGCAAUGACAAACUGGCACAGAACAGUAUCUUCUCCAGGAGAAAUGGAGAGAGAAAGAUGGAGGAGAGUAGGAUUCUCUGAAGAUGUUCCUGUACCAAACUACUUUACACAGCUGUGCAGAAAAACAAUAUGUUGCUUCUAAUACACACACACACACACACACACACUACUUGAAGUUAUUAAAAACUAGGAUGAAAAAUUAUAAAGAAAAUUAUUUCAAUUAUUGUUUUUUUUGACUAGUUAGGGUAAUUAGUUAAAAUGUUUAGAGAAUUUAAAAUGUUAGUUUUCUACCUUUUAUAUUUAUUUAGCCUAGAAUUUAUUCAAUGCUUUUAUUACUAUGUACUGUGUAUUUCCCUCAUGUGAACUUUGUAUUUUAAUCAUGUUGUUGACAAUCUGUGACUGGAUUACUUGAAAUAUGGAAUAUCUUUUCAGGAAAAACAAAUCAACUAGUUACUGUCCAGUAGUUAAGUUAGUAGUCAAUUAAUUCCUCAUCAUUAAUGUCAUUUGUUCAAAUAGAUGUUGUUGAUUAAAACAGAUACAGUUUGUAGUUAAUGUUUAUACUUGAUCUAUGCAAAUAUGUCUCAGUGGUGCUAAGGUUUGCACUAUUUGUAUGUAGCAUUUGCUGUCGUUUGCACAUGUGAAUAAACGGGUUUGUAGAAGAAGUGUUAUGUUGUUUUACUAACACGCACUACAUUAUAUGAGCAGAGGUGCAAUGUGUUGGAGGACGUGUUAGAGAAAAUGUGUGUUUUCAUUGUAUUGACAUCUAUGUAUUUGAUGUUAAAUUUUGCCUUUUCUGUGAUUUAAUCACAAUUUCCCAUUUUGUUUAUGAAUUCAUUUCCCUGACAAUGGACACCAUCACAUACACCACAGGAAAUGCAUUUGAUCAAUGUGGAGAAAUGGAAAACACAAUUCACUAAGUGAAUAAUCGCAUUAUUUUGCACAGUGUGAUGGACUGUCUCAGGAGUUGUUACAAAUGUGUGAUUUGCACAAGUUACUGUGUCUGUACUAUGCAACUGUUUGCAGUGAAAAUAAUCAAUAAAAGCAUUGUUUACAUGA